rnacentral:rRNA from 1 species
GAUGAACGCUAGCGGCAGGCUUAAUACAUGCAAGUCGAGGGGGAUUAUCUUGUAGCAAUACAGGGGUAUGAGACCGGCAAACGGGUGAGGAACACGUACGCAACUUUCCCAAAACUGGUGAAUAGCCCUCCGAAAGGAGGAUUAAUACACCGUAACAUAACGAGGUGGCAUCAUUUUGUUAUUAUAGGCUUCGGCCGGUUUUGGAUGGGCGUGCGCCUGAUUAGGUAGUUGGCGGGGUAACGGCCCACCAAGCCUGCGAUCAGUAACUGGUGUGAGAGCACGACCAGUCACACGGGCACUGAGACACGGGCCCGACUCCUACGGGAGGCAGCAGUAAGGAAUAUUGGUCAAUGGACGAAAGUCUGAACCAGCCAUGCCGCGUGAAGGAUGAAGGUCCUCUGGAUUGUAAACUUCUUUUAUCUGGGACGAAAAAAGGGAAUUCUUUCCCACUUGACGGUACCAGAGGAAUAAGCACCGGCUAACUCCGUG